rnacentral:rRNA from 1 species
AGUGAACGCUGGCGGUAGGCCUAACACAUGCAAGUCGAACGGCAGCACAGAGGAGCUUGCUCCUUGGGUGGCGAGUGGCGGACGGGUGAGGAAUACAUCGGAAUCUACUCUGUCGUGGGGGAUAACGUAGGGAAACUUACGCUAAUACCGCAUACGACCUACGGGUGAAAGCAGGGGAUCUUCGGACCUUGCGCGAUUGAAUGAGCCGAUGUCGGACUAGCUAGUUGGUGGGGUAAAGGCCCACCAAGGCGACGAUCCGUAGCUGGUCUGAGAGGAUGAUCAGCCACACUGGAACUGAGACACGGUCCAGACUCCUACGGGAGGCAGCAGUGGGGAAUAUUGGACAAUGGGCGCAAGCCUGAUCCAGCCAUACCGCGUGGGUGAAGAAGGCCUUCGGGUUGUAAAGCCCUUUUGUUGGGAAAGAAAUCCAUCUGGUUAAUACCCGGGUGGGAUGACGGUACCCAAAGAAUAAGCACCGGCUAACUUCGUGCCAGCAGCCGCAGUAA